AGGUAGGUACAUUGUUCUUAAAGAUCUGAUAAUAAUAUCCGUAAUGAUCCAGUGUAUGACUAGGUUGAUGAUUUUUUAUUAUAAUUUUUUCAAUGUCAGUUAAGGGUUCUGUGCGAGUUAUCUAGAGCGGAGAGUUUAAGUGCUCGGGAUUUUUUUUUCUCUUAUGCGGUAGUAUUGGAUUGGCUGUUUUUUACUUUCGAUUUUGGUUGUUCUAUUUUCAUAAUUAAAUUAAUUCUAGAGGGUUAGAUGGAAGAAUAGACACAUGUUUUUGGUAUCAAUCUCACAGUGUUCACCAUGUUGAUAUUGACCAAGAUUGUGUGAACUAAAUCUCGCCCUAUGAUAUAUAGUCAUUUUAUGGUGAUUUGUAUCAAUAAAAACCAUUAUUAUUAUUAUUAUUAUUAUCUAUUUGGAAAUCAAUGAAUAGGACAAUAUUUUUCGUAUUGUCAAACAUCCUAUCUGCGAAUUAUUCUCGUUGCGACCCUGAAAUAACAGUUGUGAUGUCGUACAGCUAACAGCUUUAGAUUUGUUUGUAUCAUGGAAGUAAACCGUGUAUCGAUUUCUUGGGAAAACUCAAAGCAGCAGGAAAUAACAAAAAACAACAUGAAAGGAGUCACAACUAGAUAACCCCUAUUCAAAUUGAUUAACUCCAUUCAAACGUUGUCUCACAAUGUUAUUGGCUCAUCAUGAAUAGAUCCAACUGGAUAAUUUUCUGUACGCUGUUUUUAUUAUGGGACUUCGGAGUUUAUUCAAGUCCACCUCAGUUGAAACCUAGUGCCACUAUUAUAUGUCCAGAUAACUAUAUUUUGCUGAGAGGAGUUUGUAGAAAAACUGCUAUUCGCCACGCUUGUCCAAAGGGAUUAACUCUCAUUCGAGGAGAAUGCAGAUACGUUUUAGAAUCGAAUGAACCAAAUUCUUCUGAAAGGUGAAUUCAUAUUCUCAGUGAUAAAAUAUGUAAUAUAGCGAUCUGUGAAAUAUGAAAAUUAUAUUUAGUUGCUUGUAAACAUUUACAUACCUAAUCUUAA